GUGGAGAAAUGAAAGAAAAUCAAGUUGUCCGAUAAAUAUCAAACAUUUAUAUCUGUAAAUAUUUUGCACAUCACAAUCUGACAGUGGUGGAGGAAACAUUCAGAUUGUAUAUUUAUAUAACAUUUGUCAAUACUACAAUGUAAAAGUAUUCAAUUACAAGUAAGAGCAUUCAAAAUAUUCCUUGAGUGAGAGCACAGAAAUAUCUGCAACAGUAAAAGUACUCAUUAGCUUAAACAAAAAUGGUGUAUGUUACCAUAUUUAAUAUCAAUAGCUUGCUAAUACCGAUACAUUAAUGUGUAAGUUGUAUUUUACUGCUCUAUUCGGUUGAGAUGGAGCCUGUUUUACACAACCAUAACAUAGCAUACAGUGGGAAUACUCAAGUAAAGCACAGUUACCUAAAAACUGCUCUUAAGUACAGCACUUACAUAAAUGAACCACUUCUAAUCACUGUCUAAAACCAUAUGGCAGCUAUGUGAUAACACUGUAAAUUCCACUUUGUAACAAAUCUUUAUAAUGAAAAAAGCAACUUUUAUGAAGUCGCAAUUGAGGAAAACAGACACAAACCUGCUGUCUGAAGCAAUGUCUCUGUUGUUGACACGCUGAGCGAGUAAAUAAGUCGCAGAGUGCAAGACGGGGAACUCAGCAGUAGGAAGUAGUGGGCACAGAAGUGCCAUUCUCUCCAUUCCUCCACACUGAAGCUGCACUGUUUCACUCCCACUCUGGGCUCUCAUCUUGUUUGGUUCAUGGGCCGUCUGUGAAGUCUAAAUGUGAUCUUAUUGUAGUUGUCUGUCUGGUGCAGAUCAGUGGUGAAUCAAGUACUCAGAUCUUUUACUUUAUCAAAAAAAAAAAAAAAACGUACUUGAAGGUGCCACAAGUAAAAGUGCUGGGCCCUACUACUAUGUGUCACAUUACUGGAUUGUUAACACUGAUGCAUCUAUUUGUAAGCAGCAAUUUACUGUUGGUCGAGGUGGAGUUACAUAUAGCUUAUCUACUCUAGUUUGUGCAGUUAUCAAUAGGGUCGGGCAGCUGAGCAGGGUCAGGCAGGGUCAGCACUUAGGUAGGAGCCCGCCUGGGAAUCCCGGUUCUCUUUCCAGGACCUGAAAAAUAAAGGGGACAGAGUGUGCCCAGAGGCUCUGGAACAAUCUGCUCGUGGGAAUCAGGUCGGCUGAGUCAGUGAUCUCUUUUAAGUCCCUUCUAAAACAACAUAUUUUUAUCUGAGAGCCGUUCAUGAUUUUACUUAAGGUUUAAUUUCCUUUGAACUGUCUUUUAUUUCCUCAGUUUUUAUACACCAAAUUGUUUUUUAAAUCGGUUUUCUUUUAAAAACCUGUUUAUGAGUUGUCUGUUUUAUGUUGCAGCUUUGUGAAACACUUAGUAAUGCUGUUUUGAGAUACAUGUAGUGGAGUAGAAGUAUAAAGUAGUACUAAACAGAAAUACUCAAGUAGAUUACCUUAAAGCUGUACUUAAAUACAGCACUUAAGUAAAUAUACAAUUACUUUCCAUCCCUCGUGCAGAUACUCAUAAAUUGUAUUACUUUCAGAUAUUCUCAGAUAUGAUCAUCUACAUAAAAACAGAGAGUAAAUCCAAAUAAUUGGGGAUUAAACAGUUUUAUUUUGUAUGAACAAAGAAAGCAUAUGAUCAUCAAAAGAGGGUCAUUACACACCCACAGUUUCCUCACCAUGCUGUCAGGUAAAAACAAUGCAAACAAACAAAAUAAUACACUUUGAGCAUUACCAAAUACUGCUUUUUCUUGGUCCACCUAGUUUCAUCUUGGCACCUUGAAAGAAAUCCUGUUGCAUGUAUUCAGUACAUAUUAUUUUAAUAAAGUCACUACUAACACCAUUUUGGCACAGUGGCACUAACAAUCCACAUGCUUCUCAGCAGCUGCCGUGCCGACAUCACCAGUGAGAGGAUUAAAGACCCUCCCUGCUGGCUGCCAACAAAUUCAUUGCACUUCUGUCGUUCACUUCACUAAUUAAAUGCACAAUAUAAGUAAACUUUAUGAUUUAUGUAAAGUGAUUGUCAAAUUACAAAACGUAUGUAAAAGUUGGCACAAGUGUAAGAUGGCGUGAAAUUUACAUCAUGUUUUAAUCACAUUUCUAAAGGGCAACGUGUCCUCGAUCCUCCUCACAGUCUCAUCCUGCAUGAAGUCUUCUCCUCCUUGUGCAUUUGGCUUCUUCCCUCUACUUUUCCCUCAUCUCUACAUAAAGUGUUGGCUCCCAUCCCGCCGGUGUCCUGGCAGCACCCCUGUCCAGAUGGCCUCCCGCCCUGCUCCGCCUCGCCCUCUUGAUCAUAUCAGGGCAUUGCUAUCGUCAUCUCUGCAGUUCACACUGGCCACCAGCGGGUGAUGCCGGACUGUUUUGUUGCUCCACUUGUGGGCAUCCUGCAGCCCGGGCUCGAGGAAGUAAAGGCACGCUCCGAAACCUGCCAGCACCAAAACCGACACCAGCAGAACAACAAGAACAGAGGCCUGAAUCUUCGACUGCAUCUCCAGACUCUGCUCCGGACUGAUGCACGCAUCUCAUCCAUCCCCUGCCUCAUCGCUUUGGAAAGGUUUUUCUGCAGCAAAAGAGACAGAAACUACUGACAGAAAGUUGAAUAUGAAGAUAACUGAGAAAUAAUGCAAUACUUCUGUGGCAAUCAUGCACUGUAGAUAAUUUUCCAUUUAAAAGCUUGUCGUAUGCAACACACUGUAGUGAUAAUAAAAACUGUUGAAGUACUGA